rnacentral:rRNA from 1 species
GACGGAGGAUGCAAGUGUUAUCCGGAAUCACUGGGCGUAAAGCGUCUGUAGGUGGUUUAAAAAGUCUACUGUUAAAGCUUGAAGCUUAACUUCAAAAAUGCCGUAGAAACUUUUAAACUUGAGUAUGGUAGGGGUAGAGGGAAUUUCCAGUGGAGCGGUGAAAUGGCGUAGAUCUUGGAAAGACCACCAAUGGCGAAGGCACUCUACUGGGCCAUUACUGACACUAAGAGACCGAAAGCUAGGGGAGCAAAUGGG